GGGCUCGUGGUCUAGUGGCUAUGACACCGCCUUCACACGGCGGAGGUCCCCAGUCCGAUUCUGGGCGGGCCCA
rnacentral:tRNA from 1 species